rnacentral:rRNA from 1 species
CCGUCGCCUCCUGAAUUGUAGUCUGGAGAGGUGCCAUCGGCCCCACUCGGUGCCAAAAUCCCUUGGAAUGGGGUAUCAGAGAAGGUGAGAAUCCUGUCACGCGCCAGAGUGGGGUCGUACGAUGUGCUCUCGUAGAGUCGGGCUGCUUGGGAGUGCAGCCUGAAGCGGGUGGUAAAUUCCAUCUAAAGCUAAAUAUUGGCGGGAGACCGAUAGCGAACAAGUACCGUGAGGGAAAGAUGCAAAGAACUUUGAAAAGAGAGUUAAAGAGUGCUUGAAAUUGGCAGGAGGAAACCCGGUUGCGCGUGGCAUUUGACGCCGUCGACUCAGCCGUGCGGGGAGGCCUGUAGGGGACCGAAAGGCCCUGUGGUCAGUCCGUGCGGUGCACUUCGGCGGCGUCGGUCAGCCGCGUUUCUGCGCGGCGAAGACGGUUGCGGGUAGGGCUUCGGCGUCACCCGUGAUGAUGCGUCGCGCGGGAUCUCGGCUGAUGCGCACGGGCGCAACCGACCCGUCUAGAAACACGGACCAAGGAGUCUGACGCGUGUGCGAGUACUAGAGUGGCAAGCUCGAGUGCGCAAUGAAAGUGAAGGGCGUGCCCCGUCAACCGAUCUUGAUCUUCUGUGAAGGGUUUGAGUCGAGCACAUCUGUCGGGACCCGAAAGAUGGUGAACUAUGCCUGAGGAGGGUGAAGCCAGAGGAAACUCUGGUGGAGGCUCGUAGCGAUACUGACGUGCAAAUCGUUCGUCGAACUUGGGUAUAGGGGCGAAAGACUAAUCGAACCAUCUAGUAGCUGGUUCCCUCCGAAGUUUCCCUCAGGAUAGCUUGAACGCCGACGGUUUUGUCAGGUAAAGCGAAUGAUUAGAGGCCUUGGGGCUGAAACAGCCUUAACCUAUUCUCAAACUUUAAAUGGGCAAGAGGCGCCGGAUGCUUAACUGAUCCGGCGCG